CACGUAGGGGGCAAGCGUUGUCCGGAUUUAUUGGGCGUAAAGAGCUCGUAGGCGGCUCACUAAGUCGGGUGUGAAAUUUCGAGGCUCAACCUCGAAACGCCACCCGAUACUGGUGUGGCUAGAGUCCGGUAGGGGAGCGUGGAAUUCCUGGUGUAGCGGUGAAAUGCGCAGAUAUCAGGAGGAACACCAGCGGCGAAGGCGGCGCUCUGGGCCGGUACUGACGCUGAGGAGCGAAAGCGUGGGGAGCAAACAGG
rnacentral:rRNA from 1 species